rnacentral:rRNA from 1 species
UACGGAGGGGGCUAGCGUUGUUCGGAAUUACUGGGCGUAAAGGGCGCGUAGGCGGGAUGGCAAGUCGGUCGUGAAAUCCUUCGGCUCAACCGAAGAACGUCGGCCGAUACUGCCGUUCUUGAGGGAUGCAGAGGAGAUUGGAAUUCCCGGUGUAGCGGUGAAAUGUGUAGAGAUCGGGAGGAACACCGGUGGCGAAGGCGGGUCUCUGGGCAUCUCCUGACGCUGAGGCGCGAAAGCGUGGGGAGCAAACAGG